AACGUAGGGGGCGAGCGUUGUCCGGAAUUAUUGGGCGUAAAGGGUGCGUAGGCGGUUUGGUAAGUCUUAUGUGAAAUCUACAGGCUCAACUUGUAGUCUGCAUGAGAAACUGCCGGGCUUGAGUAUGGGAGAGGUGAGUGGAAUUCCUGGUGUAGCGGUGAAAUGCGUAGAUAUCAGGAGGAACACCUGCGGCGAAGGCGGGUUGCUGGGCUGACACUGACGCUGAAGUGCGAAAGCUAGGGGAGCGAACGGG
rnacentral:rRNA from 1 species